AUGAACGCUGGCGGCGUGCCUAAUACAUGCAAGUCGAGCGAACAGACGAUGUGUUUGCUCCUCUGACGUUAGCGGCGUACUGGUGAGUAACACGGUGAUAACCUACCUAUGAGUCUGGGAUUACGUCGGGAAACCGGAGCUAAUACCGGAUAAUAGUGUGAUCCGCAUGGUUCAAUAGUGAAAGACGUGUGUUUGUUCACGUAUAGGUGUGGCCGCGCCGCAUUAGCUAGUUGGUAAGGUAACGGCUUACCAAGGCAACGAUGCGUAGCCGACCUGAGAGGGUGAUCGGCCACACUGGAACUGAGACACGGUCCAGACUCCUACGGGAGCACGCAGUAGGCACACUUCCGCAAUGGGCGAAAGCUUGACGGAGCAACGCCGCGUGAGAGAUGAAGGAAUUCGGAUCGUAAAACUCUGUUAUUAGGGAAGACAAAAAAUGUAAGUAACUAUGCACGUCUUGACGGUACCUAAUCAGAAAGCCACGGCUAACUACGUG
rnacentral:rRNA from 1 species